rnacentral:tRNA from 1 species
GGAUAUGUGGCAGAAAGGCUAUUGCACUUGCCUGCUAAGCAAGGAUCGUUUUUUCGAUUUCUGGGUUCGAGUCCCAGCAUAUCCG